GAACAUAAGAGUUUGAUCCUGGCUCAGGACGAACGCUGGCGGCGUGCUUAACACAUGCAAGUCGAGCGGGGAUAUUCGGAGUGCUUGCACACUGGAUAUUCCAGCGGCGGACGGGUGAGUAACGCGUGAACAAUCUGUCCCAUACAGGGGGAUAACAGAUGGAAACAUCUGCUAAUACCGCAUAAGACCACGAUGCCACAUGGCGACGGGGUAAAAGGAGCAAUCCGGUAUGGGGUGAGUUCGCGUCCGAUUAGCUAGUUGGCGAGGUAACGGCCCACCAAGGCGACGAUCGGUAGCCGACCUGAGAGGGUGAUCGGCCACACUGGAACUGAGAGACGGUCCAGACUCCUACG
rnacentral:rRNA from 1 species